UUAAUAAAAUUCUUAUAUUAUCUUUCAUGAAAAAUGGAGUGUUAUAGAUAACCCACACAAACAAAACAACAAUAACAAAAAUGCAAUAUAAAGACAAACACCUUGAAUGGGAGAUUAGGUCUUUUAUUUAAAGGGAAGAUUGUUGGUAUACAAAAAUCUUUACAUCGUUAAGAUUAAAUAAUAAAUAAAAGUUUAUAAAACACACACGUAGAACAAAAUAUGGAGAGCUGUGUGUAAAUAAUAGAUAAAAAUAAGAUAUAACAUUCCUCCUCUAAAUAUAUUCCUCUAGAUAUCCUGCCUUGUGUAUGCAGCCGCGUUAAAUCUUGGGGCCAGCUAUCCCACCCUUUGAGGUGCCUCCAACGUAGCGAGGAGAUUAGUCACUGCUGUCGGCGGUGGAUACUCCAGGAACGAACCUAAAAAAAAUAUAUCCCUCUCAAAACAAUUACAAACAUAACCUUUCAUACAUUAAUAACAUAUAAAUCCUCCUAAUUUAAGUGUUAAAACAGUUUCUAAUGAUAUAAAUACGUUAUUACAGAUAUUUAAAUAUUAAAUUGCUACUAUUUUCUAGCAAUAAUUGUCAUAACUACCCCUAACACUCAGUUCCUAUCGUCACUUCCAGCUGAAAAUUCAGCCUUGUUUUCAAGGUUGAAAGCAGGAAAUUAGUUCUUCAUCAUUAUCUAUAUCAUCUUUAAUAGAAAUUACUUCAUCUUCGAUAUCUCCCAAAAUUACCAAUUUUAACUGUUUCUCUACACAUGGACUUUAGUUUCAAUAAGCUGGUUGGUAAAAUACCAGACACUCCACAUGCAGGGCAUCUGAGAUUUCUCUUCCUAACUGGCAACAUGCUAAGUGGCAAUAUACCCGACUCAGUCUUGCUGGAUGGAAGCAGUGUGUAUGUUUCUCACUAGGUCAAUUUAACUUCAAUAUUGCGAUGUAUCUUUUAUUGUUCCAAUGCAAGUGUAUUCUGAGCUGUUAUUCUCACAACAAGUAGGAUGAAAUUUAAAUUUUAAGCCCACUGACUCUAUCAUUUUGCUGCUGUCUGUUGGAAUUCCUAAUUUGUUUUGCUCUAUAGUGAUAAAAUGAUUUUGAUUUUGUUACAAAUUGUUCUUGUUUAUACAUUUCUUUAUUCCUCUGCCCA